GAAAAGCUGCUGAAUUUACAAGCAGCAAAGGCAGCAGGAGGGGAUGGGGUGUGUGGGGAACACCAGGAAACUCUGAAACUGUUCUGUGAAGAGGAUGAAACCCCCAUCUGUGUGGUGUGCGACAAAUCCCGGGCUCACCGCGCUCAUACAGUGGUUCCCAUAUAGGAAGCUGCCCAGGAGUACAAGCAACUCCUGGUGGAUCAAGAUCCAAACCCCUUGGAUCUAAAAACAAGGAAAAAUCAAUCAGGUUCUUAAAAAGAAGCUGAGCCAUUACAAACAUUGAAUCCAUCUCCCCUUGAUUUCCCAUUCCCAAAUCUGACCUGAUCACCUGGCUAGAACGAAGGGAAGAGCUGUGGGUCCCAGAUCUCCAGGCCUGUGAGGAAAGAGAGAUCCUGAGAGGCACCUACACAGGUGAGGAUUGACACAGAAACCAUUUGGUGAAUGAAGGAAAAAGUUGAGAAUCCCAAAAAUGUGGUGUGAGUAACACACUCAGUUCUUCCUCAUCUC